UACGUAGGGCGCAAGCGUUGUCCGGAAUUAUUGGGCGUAAAGAGCUCGUAGGCGGUUUGUCGCGUCUGCUGUGAAAACCUAAGGCUCAACCUUGGGCUUGCGAGUGGGGUACGGGCAGACUAGAGUGGCGGUAGGGGUGACUGGAAUUCCUGGGUGUAGCGGUGGAAUGCGCAGAUAUCAGGAAGAACACCCGUGGCGAAGG
rnacentral:rRNA from 1 species